AUUCCGGUUGAUCCUGCCGGAGGCCAUUGCUAUUGGAGUCCGAUUUAGCCAUGCUAGUCGUACGAGUUCAGACUCGUGGCGAAUAGCUCAGUAACACGUGGCCAAUCUACCCCCACAGCGACGGACACCCUCGGGAAACUGAGGCUAAUCCGUCAUACCCCUCUCACGCUGGAGUGCCGAGAGGCCGAAACGCUCCGGCGCUACGGGAUGAGGCUGCGGCCGAUUAGGUAGACGGUGAGGUAACGGCCCACCGUGCCCAUAAUCGGUACGGGUCGUGAAAGCGAGAGCCCGGAGACGGAAUCUGAGACAAGAUUCCGGGCCCUACGGGGCGCAGCAGGCGCGCAACCUUUACACUGCACGCCAGUGCGAUAAGGGGACUCCAAGUGCGAGGGCAUAUACGUCCUCGCUUUUCUGGACCGUAGGGAGGUACAGGAACAAGGGCUGGGCAAGACCGGUGCCAGCCGCCGCGGUAAUACCGGCAGCCCAAGUGAUGGCCAAUCUUAUUGGGCCUAAAGCGUCCGUAGCU
rnacentral:rRNA from 1 species